rnacentral:rRNA from 1 species
AUUGAACGCUGGCGGCACGCUUUACACAUGCAAGUCGAACGGUAACAGGUUAAGCUGACGAGUGGCGAACGGGUGAGUAAUGCAUCGGAACGUGCCCGGUCGUGGGGGAUAACGCAGCGAAAGCUGCGCUAAUACCGCAUACGAUCUGAGGAUGAAAGCGGGGGACCGUAAGGCCUCGCGCGAUCGGAGCGGCCGAUGUCAGAUUAGGUAGUUGGUGGGGUAAAGGCUCACCAAGCCGACGAUCUGUAGCUGGUCUGAGAGGACGACCAGCCACACUGGGAGUGAGACACGGCCCAGACUCCUACGGGAGGCAGCAGUGGGGAAUUUUGGACAAUGGACGCAAGCCUGAUCCAGCAAUGCCGCGUGCAGGAAGAAGGCCUUCGGGUUGUAAACUGCUUUUGUACGGAGCGAAAAGGCUCUCUCUAAUACAGGGGGCUCAUGACGGUACCGUAAGAAUAAGCACCGGCUAACUACGUGCCAGCAGCCGCGGUAA